rnacentral:rRNA from 1 species
UACGGGGGGAGCAAGCGUUGUUCGGAUUUACUGGGCGUAAAGGGCGCGUAGGCGGCCUCUGCAAGUCGACUGUGAAAUCUCCGGGCUUAACCCGGAACGGUCAGCUGAUACUGCAGGGCUAGAGUGCAGAAGGGGCAACCGGAAUUCUCGGUGUAGCGGUGAAAUGCGUAGAUAUCGAGAGGAACACCUGCGGCGAAGGCGGGUUGCUGGGCUGACACUGACGCUGAGGCGCGAAAGCUAGGGGAGCGAACGGG